CGCGUAGGCGGACCUUCAAGUCGGAUGUGACAUCCGUGGGCUUAACCCGCGGCCUGCAUUCGAUACUGUCGGUCUUGAGUACAGGAGAGGAGAGUGGAAUUCCAGGUGUAGCGGUGAAAUGCGUAGAUAUCUGGAAGAACACCAGUAGCGAAGGCGGCUCUCUGGACUGAUACUGACGCUAAAGCGCGAAGGCCUGGGGAGCAAACA
rnacentral:rRNA from 1 species